rnacentral:pre_miRNA from 1 species
AAAGUACUCCCUCCGUCCGGAAAUACUUGUCAUUAAAAUGGAUAAAAGAAGAUGUAUCUAGAUAUAUUUUAGUUCUAGAUACAUUCCUUUUUGUCCAUUUUGAUGACAAGUAUUUUCGGACGGAGGGAGUAUGUC